UACGAAGGGGGCUAGCGUUGCUCGGAAUUACUGGGCGUAAAGCGCACGUAGGCGGCUUUCUAAGUCGGGGGUGAAAUCCUGGAGCUCAACUCCAGAACUGCCUUCGAUACUGGAAAGCUCGAGUCCGGAAGAGGAGAGUGGAAUUCCUGGUGUAGCGGUGAAAUGCGCAGAUAUCAGGAAGAACACCUAUGGCGAAGGCAGCUCUCUGGGACGGUACUGACGCUGAGACGCGAAAGCGUGGGGAGCGAACAGG
rnacentral:rRNA from 1 species